CAUGUCUCCAUGAAUCCAGUGGGUUUAUCUGAUCGUGCUGACAGUUUUACUAAGACCUCAGUAAUAUGUUGUCAUUUACCGGAAGUUCACUUUUAUUGGGGACGAAGUCGGAGAGGGAACUUUUCUGGAUUCACCUCUCGGAGAUUGUUUAAUGGAUACAUUACAGGUGCUUUGUAUUGUCUUUGUGGCCUUUACAGGUUUAACCAGUGGACUUGGUGUGUUACCAGAUGGUCCCCUGACUGCAGCUGUAGGAGGGACAGUGAUGUUUAACACAACAGUGACUCCACCAGAAAAACCAUUUGUGUUUGUGGGCUGGAUUUUUAUUCUUAAUAAUAUUGAUAACAAUAUAAUAUCAUCCACCUCUGGAAACACCACUGGACCAGCAUAUGAAGGCAGAAUCACUCUCUUCAGAUCUACUGGAUCUCUGGAGCUCAGGAAUCUGUCUCUUAAUGACAGUGGAGAAUACAGAGUUACUAUUACACCAGAUGGAGGAGUACAGGUCACAGGAUCAACUAGACUGGAGAUACUGGUUCCCGUCUCCAAUGUGACGAUAACUGUCAGCAACACAGACUUGGUGGAGUUCAACAGCUCUGUCAAUCUGUCCUGUUCCUCCUCUGGAUCUUCGCUCUCUUUCCUCUGGCUGAACAGCAGCUCUGGGGUUGCAGCCAG
rnacentral:lncRNA from 1 species